CAAUCCUCCCAGUGAUGAUGCUAUGGGAUUCUUAGGGCUCAGGAGAGGGCGGCAGCUUGUCAGUUAAAGAUAAGUGUUCAGAAUACAGUGGUUUGCUGUGUGUUAGAAUUUAUUCCAUUACUAAUUUAUAACUUCCCCGAAAACCCAGUAGGGACCUAAAUAUCAAAAGACUGAUAAGACUCCUUUACUCAUUUAAAAUAACAGACUCAAAGAAAUUCAAAGCCACAAACAGUCUUAAAGGUCAUCUAUGCCAUACAGGUCACUUCAGAAAUAAAGGCAACAGAGAUUUGAUAUGACUGGCACUUUAGAAGAAACCUUUUAUUCUCUUUGCAAAAGAUGCCAUCAGGGAGGAAGUGGUGUUCAGUUUUCCAUUACCUUCUUCAGACUAGAUGCUGUCAAAUCCGUUUUGUGAAACAGAGCUAUUCUGGAGAAAUAACCCUGUGUUAUUACACAUACAAACAUAACCUCUAUGAUACCAUUAGUUUGUUUUUUUUUUUUUCAAGAGAUUCUACAAGGUUAAAGGAGGUAUGAUUUUAAAUAAACAAGCAAACAAGCAACUGUUCUUUAAAAAAGCUAUGUGGAUUAAGAAAAUGAAAUAAAAGGCAUCCAGUUUGGAAAGGAAGAAGUAAAAUAAUGUCUCUCUGCAGAUGGCAUCAUCUUAUAUUAGAAAAUCUUAAGGAAUCCACCUAAAAGUGUUGAACAAGCAAGAUUGUGUUGAUAAAGCCUCAGGCAGUGCUUUGGUGAGAUUUAUAACUUACAUAUUGCAGUACCCAACAGUGAAAUAGAGACACUGUCAGAUCAACCAAAAUCUAAGAGAAUUCAUUGCUAGCAGAUCUGUACCAAAGAAAGGACAAAAGAAGUUCUUCCGACUGAUGAGAAAUGAUACUAGAAAAAAAUUUAGGUACUCAGGAAUAAAUGAAAAGCACUCAAAAUGGUAAAUACAAGCAAACGGCAAAUGUGGGUACGUAUAAAAGAUUUUUUCUCUUAAUUUUAAAAAAAGAUUUUAUCUAUUUAUGAGAGACACAGACUGAGAGGUAGAGACAUAGGCAGAGGG